rnacentral:rRNA from 1 species
UACAGAGGUCUCAAGCGUUGUUCGGAUUCAUUGGGCGUAAAGGGUGCGUAGGCGGCGCGGUGCGUCGGGUGUGAAAUCUCGGAGCUUAACUCCGAAACUGCAUUCGAUACUGCCGUGCUUGAGGACUGGAGAGGAGACUGGAAUUUACGGUGUAGCGGUGAAAUGCGUAGAUAUCGUAAGGAAGACCAGUGGCGAAGGCGGGUCUCUGGACAGUUCCUGACGCUGAGGCACGAAGGUCAGGGGAGCAAACGGG